rnacentral:lncRNA from 1 species
GUGGAUGUCGGAUUCACACACUCAAGUAUUUUUAUUAAGUAGGAAAGAUUACUCUUGAGGGACAAAAAUAAAUAUGCAAAAAGCUUAUGAAUUGCUACAAAAAUUGCUAUAGUAUUUCUUACUCGAGAGGAAGAUCCCCUUUACAUGGCCAUUGGCCUUUAUAUUUAUACAUAGAAAAACGAUAUUUAAAUGGCUAAUU